ACAGCAGCCGCCACGGUAAUACGUAGGGUGCAAGCGUUAAUCGGAAUUACUGGGCGUAAAGCGUGCGCAGGCGGUUAUAUAAGUCAGAUGUGAAAUCCCCGGGCUCAACCUGGGAACUGCAUUUGAGACUGUAUGGCUAGAGUGUGUCAGAGGGGGGUAGAAUUCCACGUGUAGCAGUGAAAUGCGUAGAUAUGUGGAGGAAUACCGAUGGCGAAGGCAGCCCCCUGGGAUAACACUGACGCUCAUGCACGAAAGCGUGGGGAGCAAACAGGAUUAGAUACCCCUGUAGUCCCUGUCUCUUAUAC
rnacentral:rRNA from 1 species